rnacentral:lncRNA from 1 species
AUUCCCGAGGCCAUGCUACUGAACUGCCAGGGGUAUCCCCACCUCUUCCAGAUCUCCUCGUCCUUUCUGGGGAACUGGGAUCGAGAAAAGCAACCUCCCAGGGUGUUGUGAGUGUUGGUCCGAUUCUGGGAAGCUGGUAAGGCCAGGCAUAGAAGAGGCGGUCAGUAAAUGUUUUUCCCAAACAGGUUGGUCGACCACGUCCCCCUCGCCCCCCUCACCUGUCUCACGCUUCUCGUUUAUUCUCCCACAGCGCUCCGGACAACCCCAGUCCGCAGGGCUCUCGGUGUACCAGCCCCGCCUCCUGUAAAGCCUAUCUACAUUCGCUGUCUUCCUUCCUCACCUUCCGUUUCCCCUCCAACCCACCGCUUCGUGGUCUCCUCUGGUCCGUUGAACUCCACCAGCUCUCAGGAGCCCCGGCGGCCCCGGAUCGUGAACGCCUGGACAGAGGAGGUGGAGGAGCUGCCCUGGAGCAGCACGUCUUCCGCAGGGUCACCUGGCGUCUUGCGCCUGCCCCGAGCUGCGACGCUGCUGCCUGGCUUGGGCCGAAGCCAUCAUCUGGAAUCCUCCGUGGUCCAGGACCUCGAACCCGCCACCCCAGCACCCUCUGGCCCCACAAUCGGCAAACUAGGAUGGAAGUGGCCUAGCUGGGGGGCCCUUCGAUGGGCCAAGGAGAAAACGCAGGCAGUGGCACCAGCCUCUGAAGCCGUCUCCGAGCUCCAAUAAUCUUCGCUUGCCUCCCCCCUUGAAAUGUCCCAAUGGACAGACUUUCUGUCUUCAAAGCUUCGGGCCAAACCUCUUCAAGCUUUUUAUUGUUUGGGACUGGGACGCUUAGCAAUAAUGAUGGGUAGUUCCUUUUUUAUUUGCCUUGAAAGGCCAAAAUAUAUUUUUGUGUGUGUGACUAUAGACAAAGCCGUCUGCUUUCAGAUGAACUCUGUCCGUCGUCUCCCACCAGGGAGGUUGUAUAUACCAUGUGUGUCUCUGUGUACUCUUGGGUCUUGAAACAGGUUUCUCAUAGGGAUGACCAUUCACAGGGGUCCUUGGGGAAGCGCCUGCCCCACCAGCGGGCCUGGGGAGCCCGACCCCUGUGUGCACAGGGUGUGGGCCCCGGGGUGGGGGUCUGGCUGCUCUAACACGUGUUCUGCCUGUGCCUGCAUCUGCCAUGCUUACGUGUCAAGGACUGUGGGUUCUGUGCUCCUUGGUGCUCAGCAGGAUGAGAGCGGGUGGGAGGUCAGAGUACUGUGAAUGCCCUACUGUUCUGGUUGGGAAGGCGUUUUGCUGGGCUCUGUUACCUGAUCCAAAGAAGCGAGUGGAUGAAUAAAUGAAUGCAGGCACGAGAGAAUGAAUAAACGAAUAAAUAGUGUAAAGGAGUGUACCCUGAAUGAGAUCCAGCUGGAUAUAUCACAGAUCAAUAGAUAAGUCGAUGAAGCAUGGAAUCAGUAUGUAAAUAGGGCCAUGCAGAAACCGGUAUCCGGUUAUCCUGGACUAAGGCACACAAGCAAUUCAAAUGCAUAGCACCUAUCGCUUGUCCAUAAAAGAAGGAACACCUACAUGACAGAAAGAGAGAAUGAGGAGUCUGGACGUGUAAACCAGGGCUGAGGCUGGGAAGGUGAAGCCCAUCAAAGUGAACAGAUGGGAGAGAGGGUACCAGGGAUUGAAAGCGGCAAGGAAAAUGGAAAGAUGCAAAUUAAUAUGUAAAAAAUAAGGUAACUUUUAAAAUUAGGAGGUGAGAAAAAUACUCCUCAUAAGGAGGACUAUGUCAGGUUAUUAUAAGCCAAGCAUUAGGAUUAAUCCAAAUACGUGCUCUUGGCAGUAGAAAAAAAGAGAAAACACUAGAGGAAGAGCUCAAAGAAUAGUUAAAAAUGAAAAAAGACCCAGGGAACCAGAGAUGAGAUUUAACUUUAACCCAAAGUUUUCUAAUUCUGGGCACACAUGAAUAAAGACUGAAAUGAAAGUU